AGAGUUUGAUCCUGGCUCAGGAUGAACGCUAGCGGCAGGCCUAAUACAUGCAAGUCGAACGAUACUUUCCAGCUUGCUGGAGAGGAAAGUGGCGCACGGGUGCGUAACGCGUAUGCAACCUACCUUAAUCAGGGGGAUAGCCCGAAGAAAUUCGGAUUAACACCGCAUAAAAACACAGGGUAGCAUUACCUAAUGUUCAGAUAUUUAUAGGAUUAAGAUGGGCAUGCGUGUCAUUAGCUAGUUGGCGGGGUAAUGGCCCACCAAGGCGACGAUGACUAGGGGAUCUGAGAGGAUGACCCCCCACACUGGUACUGAGCCAGGAUCAAACUCU
rnacentral:rRNA from 1 species